GAUGAACGCUGGCGGCGUGCCUAAUACAUGCAAGUCGAGCGAACAGACGAGGAGCUUGCUCCUCUGACGUUAGCGGCGGACGGGUGAGUAACACGUGGAUAACCUACCUAUAAGACUGGGAUAACUUCGGGAAACCGGAGCUAAUACCGUAUAAUAUAUUGAACCGCAUGGUUCAAUAGUGAAAGACGGUUUUGCUGUCACUUAUAGAUGGAUCCGCGCCGCAUUAGCUAGUUGGUAAGGUAACGGCUUACCAAGGCAACGAUGCGUAGCCGACCUGAGAGGGUGAUCGGCCACACUGGAACUGAGACACGGUCCAGACUCCUACGGGAGGCAGCAGUAGGGAAUCUUCCGCAAUGGGCGAAAGCCUGCCGGAGCAACGCCGCGUGAGUGAUGAAGGUCUUCGGAUCGUAAAACUCUGUUAUUAGGGAAGAACAAAUGUGUAAGUAACUAUGCACGUCUUGACGGUACCUAAUCAGAAAGCCACGGCUAACUACGUG
rnacentral:rRNA from 1 species